UUUCUAAACUGGGAGGGAGAGAAAACAUGCUUGUUGGGAAAAGGAAUAGAGAGACCCACUUCUUGCUUAGGGAAAGGAGAAGAAAUAUGUCUCUAAAGAGACUUCAGAAAUGGUGACUUUAGAGACCGAGAGAUGAUGGUGAGAGAGGAAGAAAAUUCCUUAAAAGAGGUGGACCCUAGAGCUCCGUACCCGAAAGCCAGACCCUCCGCUCCCAGGACUGGAAGACUGGAUCUCAGUAUGUAGUCCUGGCUGAUCUGGACCCACUCUGCAGACCAAACAACACUGAACUCUGUCUUUGCCUCCUCAGUAUUGGGAUAAAAGAUGCUGAACUCCCUAAGACCAGGUGUCAAGUCUCAUCUACCUUGGUGCAUGCAUCCCUGAGCACAACACCCAGCACAGAGAAGUCUCAAGAAAUGUUUGCUGAUGAAUGAAUGAUCUGGUAGAAAGAACAAAGACUGAAGGUGUGACAACAGGAAAUUCAAAUGCUCCCCUGGGGAAAGAAAGAGAGAGACAGGCCAGGAGAAAGACUGCACAGCUGGCAGCAGGUGGCUAAGCAUGGAGAUGCUCUAAUGUCUCAGCAGCAUGAGGACCAGGUGAAAACGAACGGUUACCAGCCUGCCUCACCACGUCCGCCAGGUUCCAUGCCUGUUUUUGGCACCACAGAUGGUCUCCAUACCCAUCUGGAAGAAAGGCUCAGCUGAGGAGGACUCUUAGGGCUGAGGGCUCAGAGGGUGUACAUGAUUGAGCUCUCUCUCUCUCUCUUUGUGUGUGUGUGUGU